GAACCCAGAGGAUCAAAGUGAGACCAUUCAAGACAGAACCCAGGCCAGCCACCAUGCUGUCUAACUCUUCAAAGUAAAGAAUAUGCACAGGUUUAUGGAGCUAUAAUUGACAGAAAGAUGCCGCUGGAAAUCACCAUUCUGUUUCCUGUUUCUACAAGUUCAACUUUGUUGUUGCUCAGUCGCUAAGUCGUGUCCGACUCUUUGCAACCCCAUGGACUGCAGCACACCAGGCUUUCCUGUCCUUCACUAUGUCCUGGAGUUUGCUCCAAGUCAUGC